GUCCACGCCCUAAACGAUGCAUAUUUGGUGUAGGUCAUUCAGUUGAUCUGUGCCGGAGCUAACGCGUUAAAUAUGCCGCCUGGGGAGUACAGUCGCAAGGCUGAAACUCAAAGGAAUUGACGGGGGCCCGCACAAGCGGUGGAGCAUGUGGUUCAAUUCGACGCAACGCGAAGAACCUUACCUGGGCUCGAACGGCUUCUUAACGGCAGUGGAAACACUGCUAUCCCGCAAGGGAGUGGAGUCGAGGUGCUGCAUGGCUGUCGU
rnacentral:rRNA from 1 species